AACGAACGCUGGCGGCAGGCUUAACACAUGCAAGUCGAACGCCCCGCAAGGGGAGUGGCAGACGGGUGAGUAACGCGUGGGAACAUACCCUUUCCUGCGGAAUAGCUCUGGGAAACUGGAAUUAAUACCGCAUACGCCCUACGGGGGAAAGAUUUAUCGGGGAAGGAUUGGCCCGCGUUGGAUUAGCUAGUUGGGGGGGUAAAGGCCUACCAAGGCGACGAUCCAUAGCUGGUCUGAGAGGAUGAUCAGCCACAUUGGGACUGAGACACGGCCCAAACUCCUACGGGAGGCAGCAGUGGGGAGUAUUGGACAAUGGGCGCAAGCCUAAUCCAGCCAUGCCGCGUGAGUGAUGAAGGCCUUAGGGUUGUAAAGCUCUUUCACCGAUGAAGAUAAUGACGGUAGUCGGAGAAGAAGCCCCGGCUAACUUCGUGCCAGCCGCCGCAGUAACAC
rnacentral:rRNA from 1 species